UCGUCCCUGCGGUAUGCGUGAUUUAGGGCGAAGAAUAUUGAACCUAUAACAUUUAACCGUGGAGCCUGACCGCAUCAGUACCUUGGUAUUGAUACUAGGGCACCCACCUGUACAUAACAGGGUCAAUAUAAUUCAGCCUUACACGGUAUUUGCGGGGAUACU
rnacentral:other from 1 species